rnacentral:lncRNA from 1 species
GGUGUCCACUGAAAUUUUCAAAGAUUCUUAACACCUUCUUUUGCAGCUGUUCUAGUUUAUUAUACAAAUUUUUGGUCACGU